rnacentral:lncRNA from 1 species
AUAGCAAUUCUUCAUAAACCAUUGUUGAGCAUCAAUUCUCAACUUUGGUAUAGUUUAGUAUAUUGUAAUCAGUUUACUAAAAUUUUAUAGUAAUUAGAUGAUAGGUUAAUUUGAUUUUGAACAAAUGGAGAUAAGAAACGACGAAAAGCUGCAGUUUAACUACUUUCUUAAUAAUUGCAGAAUUUGUAUAUUUAGACUAUUGCUGCUUAUUUUGUUGAUUUAUGAGCAUUACGUUCUUGCAUAACUUAAAUUGCUAUCCCUAAUUUCAAAAAUAAAAUAAAAAACGAUGCUUUUUAUUAUUCUAAAAA